UACGUAGGGGGCAAGCGUUGUCCGGAUUUAUUGGGCGUAAAGAGCGUGUAGGCGGCCUGACAGGUCUGCUGUGAAAACUCGAGGCUCAACCUCGAGAUGUCGGCGGAAACCGUCUGGCUAGAGUCCGGAAGAGGAGAGUGGAAUUCCUGGUGUAGCGGUGAAAUGCGCAGAAAUCAGGAAGAACACCUAUGGCGAAGGCAGCUCUCUGGGACGGUACUGACGCUGAGACGCGAAAGCGUGGGGAGCGAACAGG
rnacentral:rRNA from 1 species